AGAGUUUGAUUAUGGCUCAGAGUGAACGCUGGCGGUAGGCCUAACACAUGCAAGUCGAACGGCAGCACAGUAAGAGCUUGCUCUUACGGGUGGCGAGUGGCGGACGGGUGAGGAAUACAUCGGAAUCUACUCUGUCGUGGGGGAUAACGUAGGGAAACUUACGCUAAUACCGCAUACGACCUACGGGUGAAAGCAGGGGAUCUUCGGACCUUGCGCGAUUGAAUGAGCCGAUGUCGGAUUAGCUAGUUGGCGGGGUAAAGGCCCACCAAGGCGACGAUCCGUAGCUGGUCUGAGAGGAUGAUCAGCCACACUGGAACUGAGACACGGUCCAGACUCCUACGGGAGGCAGCAGUGGGGAAUAUUGGACAAUGGGGGAAACCCUGAUCCAGCGACGCCGCGUGGGUGAUGAAGGCCUUCGGGUCGUAAAGCCCUGUCUGGGGGGACGAAUCCCCCGCCGGUAAACAAUCGGCGGGAAUGACGGUACCCCCGAAGGAAGCACCGGCUAACUCUGUGCCAGCAGCCGCGGUAAU
rnacentral:rRNA from 1 species